rnacentral:rRNA from 1 species
ACUCCUACGGGAGGCAGCAGCUAAGAAUCUUCCGCAAUGGGGGAAAGCCUGACGGAGCGACGCCGCGUGAACGAAGAAGGCCGGAAGGUUGUAAAGUUCUUUUCUUAGUGAAGAAUAAGGCUAGCAGGGAAAUGCGUUAUUGAUGACGUUAGCUAAGGAAUAAGCCCCGGCUAAUUACGUGCCAGCAGCCGCGGUAACACGUAAGGGGCGAGCGUUGUUCGGAAUUAUUGGGCGUAAAGGGCGCGUAGGCGGCUUGGCAAGUCUGGUGUGAAAAACAACGGCUUAACCGUUGGUAAGCACUGGAAACUGCAUGGCUAGAGUUCUGGAGGGGGAGCUGGAAUUCCAGGUGUAGGGGUGAAAUCUGUAGAUAUCUGGAAGAACACCGGUGGCGAAGGCGAGCUCCUGGCCGGAAACUGACGCUGAGGCGCGAAAGCGUGGGGAGCGAACAGGAUUAGAUACCCUGGUAGUCCACGCUGUAAACGAUGUGCACUAGGUGUCUGUCUGUAGAGGAUUGGGUGCCGUAGCAAACGCGUUAAGUGCACCGCCUGGGGAGUAUGCUCGCAAGGGUGAAACUCAAAGGAAUUGACGG